GUGGCUGUAGCUCAGUGGUAGAGUGCCUGCCUUGCAUGUGUGAAACACUGGGUUCAAUCCUCAGCACCACA
rnacentral:tRNA from 1 species